GAUAAACGCUGGCGGCGCACAUAAGACAUGCAAGUCGAACGAACUUAAUUGAGAGCUUGCUCUCAAAGCGGUUAGUGGCGGACUGGUGAGUAACACGUAAGCAACCUGCCUAUUAGAGGGGAAUAACAGCGAGAAAUCGUUGCUAAUACCGCAUAUGCUGUGAGUAUCGCAUGAUACAAGCAGGAAAGGAGCAAUCCGCUAAUAGAUGGGCUUGCGUCUGAUUAGUUAGUUGGUGGGGUAACGGCCUACCAAGACGAUGAUCAGUAGCCGGACUGAGAGGUUGAACGGCCACAUUGGGACUGAGAUACGGCCCAGACUCCUACGGGAGGCAGCAGUCGGGAAUAUUGCGCAAUGGAGGAAACUCUGACGCAGUGACGCCGCGUGCAGGAAGAAGGUUUUCGGAUUGUAAACUGCUUUUAACAGGAAAGAAAAAAGUGACGGUACCUGUUGAAUAAGCUCC
rnacentral:rRNA from 1 species